rnacentral:tRNA from 1 species
CGUUCCAUGGCGAAAUUAGUCUAUGCAUCGCCGAUUAGAGGCGAAUAUGCGGGUUCGAGUCUCGCUGGAACGA